rnacentral:rRNA from 1 species
UUACGGCCACAUCACGCUGAAACACCGGUUACCGCACGAUCACCGAAGUUAAGCAACGUCGAGCCUGGUGAGUACCUAGAUGGGUAACCGCUUGAGAAUACAAGGUACUGUAAG